AUUGGAAUUUCAUGACUCAGGAGGUUAACUUACACAGCUCUUGAUUUAACACUGAGCUAUCACAAAGAGAAAGAAGAAACACAAUUGGAUCUCAAGUUUUUAUUGGAGUCAUAUUGUCAUUUCAAACACAAUACCAGCGAAAAGUGACUCCAUGCUGACCUGCACUUCACAGCCCGGAAGGACAGCAGGGAGGAGGAAAGGAGUUCUUUGCUUUGAUCAUCAAAAUGAGGAGUCCCCAUCAAUUGUGCUCUGAACCAGAGACAUUACUGGAGGUGGUGCUUGCAAAAACAUGAGAUGGGUAAAACUGCAGCUUUAUCUCUUUGCCUUGAAGAUUUCAGCCUCAACUGAAUGUACCAGGCUCUGCUGAUUCCUCAUGGGAGACCUUGCCUUGGAGGAGCCCAAUUUAGCAACCCAAAGGCAAGAAGCCUGAGGUUUGUGGAGUUUUGUGGAAGAUUAUGCGGAAGAGGAUGGUUAUGAAUCACCAGAGAUGUGAAAAGAUACUAAGCAACAUGGGAUAUUCAAAGAUGGAGAUCGAGUACAGCCAGAAAAUAAGAUUUCUGGCCAACACAAACUAAGUAAGGGCAGACUGCUUCUCUAUCCAGCUCACGGUAGCCUUGGGUGAACUUGACUUUAUGCACUUUGGAAGACUUCCUUGGAAGAAUGAUGUUGGAUAUGGUAGCGAUGCUCCUACACGCCUAGUGUCCCUGAAUGACUGUGUGGAGAAAAGACGACUAUACACUAAAACAACUUCUAAAAGAAGAUGGAAUGGUAAUUUUCAAGAUUCAUGCAUGUGAAGCUGCUUUGCUCUUGCAAUGUAGUCAAUGUUAACUAUUUCAAGGGUAAGGGAUUAGGUAUAGUAAUACAUUUUCUGCCAAAUUGCAGACAUUACUGACCAUUGCGCCUUAAAUACAUUUGACUUUACAUCUAACUUUACCAGUGUUAGCUAAAAUGGAUUAAGAUUCUGAGAAUGUAGUAGAAACUUUCCAUUCUAAAAAAUCAACAUUCUCCAGGAGGGGACAAUUUUCCAAAAUGGAUAAAAUAUCCUCCAUCUCCCAUGUCUUUCUUAGAAUUUUCCUUUACCUCUUCUCCCACUGAUAAGUAGUGCAUGUGACGUCCCUUCUUAAACCUGGAAUGCUUAUCACUAACUACAAUAAAGUGAUGUGGUGAGGCCUCAAGGCUGUAUAUUAAUGGAUGCAAUUUCAACUUCAUUGGCACCUUGCAGUCCUGCUGCAAUAGCAAGCUGUGAGGAGCUGGUCCACAGAGGCUGUUCCAAUGAGCGGCCCUUAGGAACACCAAUAAGACAAAGCCCAUGGCUGGCAAGGUGCCUUAGUUAAUAAAAGGUGCUUGUCAUGUAAUCCUGGCAACCUGUGUUUAAUCCCAGGAUCCUAUGUAAAGGUGAAAGGAGAGAACUGCCUCUACAAGGUUGUCACUGACUCCCCCACCCCCCACACACUCUCUUUGUGGCUUGCAUAUACAUAGAGACUAAAAAAUGGAAUCUUUUUUUUUUUUCCUUAAGAAAAAUCUCAGGUCCUAGAAGGCAGAGCUAGGAGCUCAGAGGGCAGAGCUAACACUAACAGUAACAACAACAACAGCAACAAGAACAGUAACAGCAGCAGCAGCAGCAGCAACAACAUGUCCAGGCAGUAGGACUGGAUUUAAUUUCUCUCAAGAAACAUGCUGGUUUUAUCAUGGCUGUCAUAUAUAUCAUAGCUAUGUUUCCUAUGUGUUUCCUCACCUCAUUCCAAUGGUAGUGUUCACAGCAAGAAUCCUAUGGGCAUCCCACAUUGGUAUGGUUGUGUAUGGGGAAGGUGAUUUCUGUCCACAAGCUUUCAGACCGAGUACCAACAGCACUGAUGAAAUGCGUGGAAGCCAUGCUACUUAGAGAGUUUUAGCUGCACCUGGACCUGAUUUCAACAAAAAGAGGUUUAGCUCGAGGCAGAUAAUUCAAUUGGAUUAAACUUGAGAAUUUUACAUGUGAAUAAUGAACGGAUUAUUGGCAACAGAGUGGAGGCAGCAGAACAUUACAUUUCUCAAAAUAUCUCCACAUGUAUCUUUUUGUCCCAUGCUUUUUCCCUAAGGUGUCUUCCACACACUUUCCACUGACAGGAACAGGGACCUGAUAUCUCUCCUUGCACUUGGAUACACCUGCUAAUACCGUGUCUUCUCAAACGAAUUAUAAAAGGCAAGAAAGAUUCUGUCUUCUCUUGGGGUUGUUGUAUUUGAUUGCUAAGCUAAGGUGUCUUACCCAAGGUCUGUACCUACUACCUGCAUUUCAUAGCUGCUUUUUUGGCUCAAAAAUAUUUUGGUACUUCUAGUGUUUGGAUUUCCUUUAAAAAGAAAUACCAGACUAUGCAGAGAAAAACAAUUUUUUUGAAAAAGAUUAAACUAAAACAAUAUGCUGUUACACUGUUGGCUUUGGGCUGCCUACUUUGAAUACCUACCCUGCAAAAUCAGUGAACACAUUAGGCUGGUUAUUUGCAUUGCUAAGCUUAUGAAGUUUGUGUUGUAUCUAUUAUAAGAUGAACAUGCUGUUUUCAUUCAUAAUCUAUUCUAUAAUAGCUUAACUUUUGAAUUAUUUCAAGUUGGGGACCUUAGAAAUGUCAGUGACUUCAUAAUUCUUUGGUAAAUUAUUUAAAGUCAGUCUCUGAUUCUGGAUUAUUAGAUGGUUUGCUAUUGAAAUCAUCAUCAUAAGUAGAUGCUUUACUCGUAUUGCUACAUUGAUCACCCAUUUUUGGGUGACUGCCUAUUUAGUGUAUUUUUUUUCAUAUUGUUGGGGGUGCUGUCCUUGAGCUGGUAGUCCUGGGCAGACUUAGCAACACAGAGGAGAAACUUAGUAAGUAGCAUUCUUCUGUGAUCUGUGCUUCAGAUCCUGCAUCCAGGUUCCUGCCUUGCUUGAGUUUGUUCCCUGGCUUCCUUUCAUGAAAGAAUAUAAGCUAUAAGGUGAAAUAAAGCCUUUUCUCCACAAGUUUCUUGUGGUCAUUGUGUCUAUCACAGUCAUGAAAAUUAAACUAAGACAUGAUAGACUACUACACAUGUUUGCCUUGAAUUCAUAAAGCAUUUAGUAUACAAAAACACUACUUAUAUGCUUAUUAAAUUGUUAUAUCAAUUAUAUCCAUAUAUAACAGAUAUACUAUAUUUAGAGUGGAUUGGAGGGAGCAGAGAGAGGAAGGGGUACAGAGAGAGAGAGAGAGAGAGAGAGAGAGAGAGAGAGAGAGAGAGGGAAGAGAGAAGAGAAAAUAAAGAAAUUCUACUAAGGACUGAAGGAUACAUCAUGAAUAUUAGUGAAAAAAAAUCAUAUAGAGCAACCAGAGACUUGCAUAGAGUUUUUAGCUCUUGCUUGCUAGAGACAUGCAAUCAAAACUCUAAACUAAAGUAGCGUUUGUAAGGUCAUAAAACAGAAUUGGUUAAAUGGUUAAAUAAAGUACACUAGUAAACAUUUCUAAAAAGUAUCCUGUGGCAAGAUACCAAAAGAAGGUACCGAACUGACUUUAAAUACUUACAAUUUUAUGCUUAAUGUAUUGAGAAAUAGUAUGUUAAAGCUACCUGUCUUAUUUGCUAAGCUUGGAAAUUAGUGAAUUAUUUGUGUCUGAAGAUUUUCAAGGGCAUAAAAGAAUUGUGGUUGUUUGAAAGAAAAUGGCCUCCCAGAGGGAGUGGCAGUAUUAGGAGGUGUGGCUUUGUUGGAGUGGAUGAGGACUUGUUGGAGGAAGUGUGUCACUGCGGGGGCAGGCUUUGAAGUUUCAUAUAUGCUCAAGCCACACCCCGUGUCACAGUUUACUUCUUGUUGCCUAUAAGAUGUAGAACUCUCAGCUCCUUUUACAGCACCAUGUCCUCUUACCUGCUACCAUGUUCCACCAAGAUGAUAAUGGACCAAACCUCUGAAACUUUAAGCCAUCAAAUUAAAUGUUUCCUUUAUAAGAGUUGCCAUGGUCAUGGUAACUCUUCACACCAAUAGAAAUCCUAUGUAUGAUAGAAGCUGAUACCAGGACUGGGGUAUUGCUGUGAUAGGCCUGACCAUGUUUUUGUUUGGAGGAAUUCAGACUUUGAUACUUUGGGUUAGGAAAGUAGUGGAAUGUUUCAAACACUGCUUAGUGGGCCAUACUAGUAAGAGCAUGGAAGGCAAUGGUGUUGAGAAUGAUUUGAAUUGUGGUGGCCUUGCUCAAGAAGUUUCAGCAGAGAAAAUACUAAUAUGUGUCCUAGAGACUGUUCUUGUGAUAUUUGGUGAAGAAUAUGGCUGCCUUUCGCCCUUGUCUGAAGAAUCUGCUUGAGGCUAAAGUGAAGAGAUUUGGAUUAAUUCCAUUGGCAGAGGAAAUCUCAAAACAGCCUAGUAUAGGCUGUCAUGUGGUUAUUAGUGGUAAUUAUAAUUAAGAUUUAUAAUGAAAAGGAGCAAGUUGAGCAGGGUAAAUUACAAAAUGUAAAAUUUGAGGAGAAAAGCAGUAGCAGGAAGUGGGAUGGAGCUAAGUUCUGUGCUGUUCAAGGAGAUAAACACAUUAAGAAAUGGAAUAAAGGGGGUGGUGACCUCAGGGCAAGAUCCCACCCAGCUAAGUUUCCAACUGGUGGAAAGGUAUUAAAGAAAAGCUUAGAACUGGACUGUGGUUGUGCACGCCUUUAAUCCUAGCACUCAAGAGGCAGAGAUCUCUGAGUUUGAGGCCAGCCAGCCUGGUUAGCAGAGCAAGUUCCAGAACAGCAAAGCUUAGACAAUGAAGGAAACCAUCAAAAACAGAAAGCUGGUGAAGAUUUAAAUGAACAAGGGAGUCAUGUUCCAGUCCCAGCAAGCAGCAUAACUUGGCAACUUCAGCCACAUGAUGCUGGCUUUGGAGUCAAGGAUAGAAAAAAGGAUUUAUAGAAUCUCCCUCUGCAACCAAGAAAUGCCGCUGAGGCCAGGCAUAUGUCAUGGGUGUUUCUACGGAGGCCUAGAGAGAAAAUUGUGUGAAGCUGUGAAGGAGAAGUCUGGAUUGCCUUGGAGACCCCAAGAUGUUAGAGAUGUCAGAGCUGUGGGAUACCUGCCAAGGAGAGAUGCUCACAGGGAGUGGAACCAGCCCAAGGGAAAAAAGUGUGUUGCAGUGAACAACACUGAAAGGAGCUGGAGAUCUGAAGAGCAUUUCAACAUCAGACAUGGAGAUGCAGAAUUUGGAGUUUGCCCAGCUGGUUUUUGGUCUUGAUUUGGUCUGGUAUUUCCUUGCUAUAUUCCCUGCCUUACAUCUUGGAAUAGUAACACAUAUCCUGGGCCAUUAUAUGUAGGAAGUAUGUUAUCUGUUUUUUUAUUUUAAUUUUAUAGGGGAUUACAGUUAAGAGAUUGUAUGAAUUUCAGAAGAGACUAUGGGGACAUUUAAAGGUGGACAGAAUGUAUUUUUGCAUUAUGAUAUGGCUACAAGCCUGUGGAGGCCAGGGAGUAGAAUGUACUGGUUUGAAAGAAAAUGACCCCCAAAGGGAGUGGCACUAUCAGGAGGUGUGGCUUUGUUGGAGUGGGUCUUUUUGAAGGAAGUGUAUCACUAUGGAGGUGGGCUUUGAGGUGGCCUCAUAUAUGCUCAAGCCACAACUAGUGUCUCAGUGUACUUUCAGUUGCCUGCAUGAUAUAGAACUCUCAGCUCCUUCUUCAGCACCAUGUCUGCCUGCACACUGCUAUGGCACCAUGACAAUAAUGGACUAAACCUCUGAAACUGUAAGCCACCCCAUUAAAUGUACUCCUGUAUAAGAGUUGCCAUGGUCAUGGUGUCUCUUGACAACAAUAGAAAACCUAACUAAGGUAAGAAUACUAUAGAGAAGUGAAGAUAUUAGGUAGAAGAUAAUAUAUUAAUGAUCCUUGUGUUGACUUUACAAAUGUGCAACAUUCUACUCAAAAGAAUGAGAAUGACUCUCAACAAGUGAUCAUUUAUACAAACAAUACCAUAUCUGUCCUAAGAACUCUCAAUAAGCUUUUCUUUGUGUGAAACAACGCAGUAAUCAACCCAACCUAACAAAGCUGAUGGAGGACAAGAGUUACUUAGAUCCUACAUGAAUAGAUUUUUUUCCUCUUUUCUCAGAUGUAAAUUUUUUCAUAUCUCCCAGAAAUGCAACAAUUGACAAAUUCUACUUUAAUAAUUGCUAAACCUAAUUGUUUUAGAAGAUAACAAAUACCACAACAUAAUGAUGCUAACAUUUCAUAAAGAGAGAUUUUUUUACUAUUAUAUCAAUGUUUUCCUGUAUCUCCAGCAAUAACUUUAUGGUUUACUUUGUUUUAUUCUAUGAACCUUCUCAUACUACAGUAGGGGUGUCCCCCUUGAUGAGGACAUUUACUUGGCAAUUACUUGUUUUGUUGUGAUCUCUGUGCUCUUCAAAGAAAUGAUGCUAUAUGGGGGCAAAGUCAAGCCAGAUAUUUUCUCAUGGAAAAAGGUGAGGUUGCUGUAUCAAAACCUGUGGUUAAAUGUGAAUUGUUAAUUGUUCUCUGGAGCAUUGCAUAGAUUGUACUGUGUUCAAAGGAAUGGCAGAUAAACAGAAAUGCAAACCUCA